AGUGAACGCUGGCGGUAGGCCUAACACAUGCAAGUCGAACGGCAGCACAGUAAGAGCUUGCUCUUACGGGUGGCGAGUGGCGGACGGGUGAGGAAUACAUCGGAAUCUACUUUUUCGUGGGGGAUAACGUAGGGAAACUUACGCUAAUACCGCAUACGACCUACGGGUGAAAGCAGGGGAUCUUCGGACCUUGCGCGAUUGAAUGAGCCGAUGUCGGAUUAGCUAGUUGGCGGGGUAAAGGCCCACCAAGGCGACGAUCCGUAGCUGGUCUGAGAGGAUGAUCAGACAGACUGGACAUGAGACACGGUCCAGAGUCCUAGGGGAGGCAGCAGUGGGGAAGAUGGGACGAUGGGCGCAAGCCUGAGCCAGCCAUACCGCGUGGGUGAAGAAGGCCUUCGAGUGGUAAAGCCCUUCGGUUGGGAAAGAAAAGCAGAAGGUUAAUACCCCGCUGUUCUGACGGUACCCAAAGAAUAAGCACCGGCGAAAUUCGUG
rnacentral:rRNA from 1 species